rnacentral:rRNA from 1 species
GACGAACGCUGGCGGCGUGCUUAACACAUGCAAGUCGAACGGAAAGGCCCUGCUUUUGUGGGGUGCUCGAGUGGCGAACGGGUGAGUAACACGUGAGUAACCUGCCCUUGACUUUGGGAUAACUUCAGGAAACUGGAGCUAAUACCGGAUAGGAGCUCCUGCUGCGUGGUGGGGGUUGGAAAGUUUCGGCGGUUGGGGAUGGACUCGCGGCUUAUCAGCUUGUUGGUGGGGUAGUGGCUUACCAAGGCUUUGACGGGUAGCCGGCCUGAGAGGGUGACCGGCCACAUUGGGACUGAGAUACGGCCCAGACUCCUACGGGAGGCAGCAGUGGGGAAUAUUGCACAAUGGGCGGAAGCCUGAUGCAGCAACGCCGCGUGCGGGAUGACGGCCUUCGGGUUGUAAACCGCUUUCGCCUGUGACGAAGCGUGAGUGACGGUAAUGGGUAAAGAAGCACCGGCUAACUACGUG